rnacentral:rRNA from 1 species
GAUGAACGCUGGCGGCGUGCCUAAUACAUGCAAGUCGAGCGAACAGAUAAGGAGCUUGCUCCUUUGACGUUAGCGGCGGACGGGUGAGUAACACGUGGGUAACCUACCUAUAAGACUGGAAUAACUCCGGGAAACCGGGGCUAAUGCCGGAUAACAUUUAGAACCGCAUGGUUCUAAAGUGAAAGAUGGUUUUGCUAUCACUUAUAGAUGGACCCGCGCCGUAUUAGCUAGUUGGUAAGGUAACGGCUUACCAAGGCAACGAUACGUAGCCGACCUGAGAGGGUGAUCGGCCACACUGGAACUGAGACACGGUCCAGACUCCUACGGGAGGCAGCAGUAGGGAAUCUUCCGCAAUGGGCGAAAGCCUGACGGAGCAACGCCGCGUGAGUGAUGAAGGUCUUCGGAUCGUAAAACUCUGUUAUUAGGGAAGAACAAAUGUGUAAGUAACUGUGCACGUCUUGACGGUACCUAAUCAGAAAGCCACGGCUAACUACGUGCCAGCAGCCGCGGUAA